UGGGGAUGCAGCUUAGUGGUACAGCACUUGCCUAGCAAGCCUGAGGCCCUGAGUUCAAUACCCAGCACUAA
rnacentral:tRNA from 1 species